UUCACGGAGAGUUUGAUCCUGGCUCAGGACGAACGCUGGCGGCGUGCUUAACACAUGCAAGUGGAGCGACGAAGGGCCUUCGGGCCUGGCAGAGCCGCGAACGGGUGAGUAACACG
rnacentral:rRNA from 1 species